GUCCACGCCCUAAACGAUGUCAACUAGUUGUUGGGACCGCAAGGUUUUAGUAACGUAGCUAACGCGAGAAGUUGACCGCCUGGGGAGUACGGUCGCAAGAUUAAAACUCAAAGGAAUUGACGGGGACCCGCACAAGCGGUGGAUGAUGUGGAUUAAUUCGAUGCAACGCGAAAAACCUUACCUACCCUUGACAUGGACCAGAGCUACGAGAGAUUGUAGUGUGCUCGCAAGAGAAUGGUCACACAGGUGCUGCAUGGCUGUCGU
rnacentral:rRNA from 1 species